AGGAAGUCCGACAGUAUAUUUUUGAUUACUAUAAUUGCUGGUUAUGAAAUGGCACAACAUUAGAAAUUGACAAAUGAGGAAACUGUAACAACUUGCUGUAUAAAGCCUCAAAGUUACACAGGACGGUCACAGAAGACAUCAACUGAGAAGAGGCACAAAAGCAGAUACUACACAAAAAUGGUUUCAUUCAGCAAUCGCCCAGCGCUGCAGCUGCUUAUGUUGGCGUCACUGACAAAUCUCAUCAUGUAUACUGCGAAAGCUGAUCCUGUUACCCCAGGUGUAAUCCCAGUAUCCAAUAUUACAUGUCCACCGGACAUGGAACUAGGUUGUCGCCGCGCAUGCUUUGGAGAUUGUGACGGAUUAAACAGCACAAGGGAAGUUUGCACACUUAUGUGCCCGAAUGGAUGUGAAUGCAAAGAUCUAAGUUACGUUCGUACUUCUAAGGACUCUAACAUCUGUGUCCCGCCCUCAAUGUGCAACGUUACUUGUCCUGCAAACAUGACCUUCAACCCGUGCGUCAAACAGAGUGACCCGACCUGUAAUAGCGAAGAUCCCAUUACAGAAUUAGCAUGCUUACCGCGCUGUGUGUGCAAGCCGGGGUAUGUUAGAAGUGGCAGCGUGUUUAAUCGAACAUGUAUUAAAAAAUGUGAUUGUCCACCUUCAAUAAAUUCUAAAAAAUAAAAGGUAAUUAGCACCGCCUAUGUUAUAUGUCCUGCUAACAGUAAAGUGUUGCACCAUGUCAGCCAAUGUAAAAGGCAGCGAAAAAAUAAAUAUAAAGUGGAAUUAAAGUGAAACAAUA